UCCAGACUCCUACGGGAGGCAGCAGUGGGGAAUAUUGGGCAAUGGACGCAAGUCUGACCCAGCAACGCCGCGUGAAGGAAGAAGGCUUUCGGGUUGUAAACUUCUUUUAAGGGGGAAGAGCAGAAGACGGUACCCCUUGAAUAAGCCACGGCUAACUACGUGCCAGCAGCCGCGGUAAUACGUAGGUGGCAAGCGUUGUCCGGAUUUACUGGGUGUAAAGGGAGCGUAGACGGCCAAGCAAGCCAGGGGUGAAAGCCCGGGGCCCAGCCCCGGGACUGCUCUGGAAACUGCGGCGCUGGAGUACGGGAGGGGCAGGCGGAAUUCCUGGUGUAGCGGUGAAAUGCGUAGAUAUCAGGAGGAACACCGGCGGCGAAGGCGGCCUGCUGGACCGUGACUGACGUUGAGGCUCGAGAGCGUGGGGAGCAAACAGGAUUAGAUACCCCAGUA
rnacentral:rRNA from 1 species